rnacentral:tRNA from 1 species
CAUUGAGGUGGGGCAUGUCUUUAAACUGGGCAGCUUCUUCAGCGAGCGGAUGGGGGCCACCUUCCUCAACCGUGAUGGGGUGGCACGCCCCAUCCUUAUGG